rnacentral:rRNA from 1 species
GAUGAACGCUGGCGGCGUGCCUAAUACAUGCAAGUCGAGCGAACAGACGAGGAGCUUGCUCCUCUGACGUUAGCGGCGGACGGGUGAGUAACACGUGGAUAACCUACCUAUAAUACUGGGAUAACUUCGUGAAACCGGAGCUAAUACCGGAUAAUAUAUUGAACCGCAUGGUUCAAUAGUGAAAGACGGUUUUGCUGUUACUUAUAGAUGGAUCCGCGCCGGAUUAGCUAGUUGGUAAGGUAAAGGCUUACCAAGGCAACGAUGCGUAGCCGACCUGAGAGGAUGAUCGGCCACACUGGAACUGAGACACGGUCCAGACUCCUACGGGAGGCAGCAGUGGGGAAUAUUGGACAAUGGGCGAAAGCCUGAUGCAGCAAUGCCGCGUGAGUGAAGAAGGUCUUCGGGUUGUAAAGCCCUUUUAUUGGGAAAGAAAAGAAGUGGAUUAAAACAUCGAUGUUCUGACGGUACCUAAAGAAAAAGCACCGGCUAACUUCGUG